AAUUGUAUUAUUUUAACAAAUUUGAAAGUUGUCCAACAGAGUCUAACAAAUUUAGAAGAACAUAAAAUGUAGCAUAAAAAACAGGUUUUAGCAAACAAUGACUUGACAUAAACUUAGCAGCGCAAAAUUGGGAAUUGGCCCACCAGGGAAAAUAGUGCUCAACAAAAUGUUAAAGUUAUGAAACAAUUAAGCAACAAAUUUGUUGAAUGGGUAGAAUUGAUAUCUACUAAUGUUGUGCUACGAAGUUCAUAUAUGUAUCUUAAUCGUACUAUAAAGUUAAUAAGAUCUCAAUAAAAUUAUGGUUCGAUGAAAUGAAAAUUUAAUUUUCUCUCAGAAACUGUUUGGUUAAAAAUUGUUUGAUGUCGGUUACAAUUAGUUACUAAAACGUUAUUCAAUUUUGGAAUUAGUCCGGAGUCGAUAGGGUAUAGUUGGUGGGCCACCUUUACAGAUGUCUAAUAUUGAUAGUUAUUCUGUUGUUGACCUAUAGUAGUACCUUUGUAAAACUCACAAUGAUAUUUGCCUUAGCAUUCUGCUGCACACGGUUUCAGACAGUUUCAGACGGUUUAAUAGGACUUUGGAAAACACCUUAUACACUGAGUUUAGUGGAGAUAUCCUCUAUAGUUGUUGCACUCAGUUUUAUCGUCCUUCAUAUAAAGUAGAUAGUAUUAUUAUUGCUCCGUUCCAAUAGUCUGGCAUUAUUUUCUGCUGGUAUACCUUAAAAAUACAAUUAUGCACAUUUUCUCCGCGAUACUUUAUAAGUUCCAAUGGAAUGCCAUUGGAACCUGGGAUCUUCCAAUAUUUUAAGGUUCCUUAUUGCUUCCUUGACUUUCUCUUUGAAUACUUAAUUUACCAAUGGUUUUCUUUCCUCUCCUCGCUGAAUGUAUGCAUUUUCUAUAUGAUUGGGACCCAUUGUAUCAUUUACGAGAUCAGUAAAAUAUUCUUUCCAUCAUAUUAUUUUCUUUUCUGGAUCCAUCAGUAUUGUCUCCAUAGUAUUCUUUAAGACUUAUAGACGUGGGUUAAACGAUCUUUACUUUUUGAUAGUUUUGAAAAAAUUCCUUAUGCUACCUUAUAAUCUAUUCCUUUGUAAUAUUCCAUUUAGAAAACAUUUGUUCUUUCUCUGUAAUACAUGUUUAAAGUUCUUUUAUUCCUUUUCAUAUAUUUCUUUCUUAUUUUCAUUUUUAGUCCCCUGAUCUAUUAUAGUUUUCUCUGGUAAUUCACCACUUCUCUAUUUCUUUGUGAGAGGCAUUGUUAUACCGUAUAUUUGUUUUGUUUUCUAUCUUCUCUAUACUCUUUUUCUCUACUUCCUUAAUAUAUUACAUGGCUUGGUCCUAUUCUAUUUUUUAUCAUGUUCUUCUAGGUUUCUUAAAUGGUUACUAAUUUUAUUUGCACAAUUUUUCUGAAUCUCUAUAUCUUUUAAUGCUUCCAGGUUCACACUAAAUUUUUUCUUUUUU